CUCGCCUGACGGUCCAGGCCCUGCACGCCAAGCCCUGGGUGGGGUAUCAGCGUGGCGGUCGGUGCCCAUGCCCAGGAGGUCUGUGUGUGGGGUCAGCGCCCGUGUCUGAGAGCUCUUCAGCCCAGGAGGGAGUGGGGAAGGCCAGGGCCAGAUUCUGCAGCGCUUCCCAGAGAAGGACUGGGAGGACAACCCAUUCCCCCAGGGCAUCGAGCUGUUUUGCCAGCCCAGCGGGUGGCAGCUGUGUCCCGAGAGGAAUCCACCGACCUUCUUUGUUGCUGUCCUCACCGACAUCAACUCCGAGCGCCACUACUGCGCCUGCUUGACCUUCUGGGAGCCAGCGGAGCCUUCACAGCAGGAAACGACGCGCGUGGAGGAUGCCACAGAGAGGGAGGAAGAGGGGGAUGAGGGAGGCCAGACCCACCUGUCUCCCACAGCACCUGCCCCAUCUGCCCAGCUGUUUGCACCGAAGACGCUGGUACUGGUGUCGCGACUCGACCACACGGAGGUGUUCAGGAACAGCCUUGGCCUCAUCUAUGCCAUCCACGUGGAGGGCCUGAAUGUGUGCCUGGAGAACGUGAUUGGGAACCUGCUGACGUGCACUGUGCCCCUGGCUGGGGGCUCGCAGGUGAGUUUUGGAGGCAGCUGGUAUCUGCACAGCCACAGGCCCUCCUGCUGGGGCCCUGGUAGGUAUUUGGAGCCCAGCCAGAGCCACACACAGCUGGAGGCCUUGGAUGCUCCCUCUUGCGUCCUCGUGCCACCAUUGCCCCCAACAGUCCUGGCCUGCUUACCUGGCCCUCGCACCUGUGCUCUGGGCCUGUGUCGUUCAGCCUCUCUGUCCACUCCUUUGAUGGUGUGUGCCUGUCUCUGGAUGUUGAUGUCAGCUUGUUUGUCUGCUCCCUGCCCUGUGCCUGGGUGUGUUGGAGUGUCUAACCGUGUCUUUCUGCCCGUCUGUCCUGUGCAGCUGGACUCUGUUGAGGAAGGAGCGGUAUGGAUUCUUUGUUUCUUCCGCCCACCUAGGCCCCAUCCCUACCCCCAAGUCAAAAGCAGCCACUCCUGUCCUGAGUUUUCUCUGCAGCUGCUUGGGACAACAGAGGCAGGGCAUGGCGUUUCCCUCUUGCCAUGUUGCCCAUCCCAGCCAGUCCCACCUCGGGUCUGUCAGUACACCAGGGUCUGCCUGGGGACACAGAGCUCUGGGCUGACUCUGGGCUGGCUCUGGCCAAACUACUGAGCCCCGAUCCUUUUUUUGCUGCAGAGGACGAUCUCUUUGGGGGCUGGUGACCGGCAGGUCAUCCAGACUCCACUGGCCGACUCGCUGCCCGUCAGCCGCUGCAGCGUGGCCCUGCUCUUCCGCCAGCUAGGCAUCACCAACGUGCUGUCUUUGUUCUGUGCCGCCCUCACGGAGCACAAGGUUCUCUUCCUGUCCCGGAGCUACCAGCGGCUCGCCGAUGCCUGUAGGGGCCUCCUGGCACUGCUGUUUCCUCUCAGAUACAGCUUCACCUAUGUGCCCAUCCUGCCGGCUCAGCUGCUGGAGGUCCUCAGCACACCCACGCCCUU
rnacentral:lncRNA from 1 species